AUACAUAGUGAGUUUGAUCCUGGCUCAGAG
rnacentral:rRNA from 1 species